rnacentral:rRNA from 1 species
AGAGUUUGAUCAUGGCUCAGGACGAACGCUGGCGGCGUGCUUAACACAUGCAAGUCGAACGAUGAAGCUGGAGCUUGCUCCGGUGGAUUAGUGGCGAACGGGUGAGUAACACGUGAGCAAUCUGCCCUUGACUCUGGGAUAACUGCGGGAAACUGUAGCUAAUACCGGAUACUUUCCUCGGUGGGCAUCCACUGAGGAAGAAAGAAUUUCGGUCAAGGAUGAGCUCGCGACCUAUCAGCUUGUUGGUGAGGUAAAGGCUCACCAAGGCGACGACGGGUAGCCGGCCUGAGAGGGUGACCGGCCACACUGGGACUGAGGCACGGCCCAGACUCCUACGGGAGGCAGCAGUGGGGAAUAUUGCACAAUGGACGAAAGUCUGAUGCAGCAACGCCGCGUGAGGGACGAAGGCCUUCGGGUUGUAAACCUCUUUUAGCAGGGAAGAAGCGAAAGUGACGGUACCUGCAGAAAAAGCACCGGCUAACUACGUGCCAGCAGCCGCGGUAAUACGUAGGGUGCAAGCGUUGUCCGGAAUUAUUGGGCGUAAAGAGCUCGUAGGCGGUUUGUCGCGUCUGCUGUGAAAUUUCGAGGCUCAACCUCGAACUUGCAGUGGGUACGGGCAGGCUAGAGUGCAGUAGGGGAGAUGGGAAUUCCUGGUGUAGCGGUGGAAUGCGCAGAUAUCAGGAGGAACACCAAUGGCGAAGGCACAUCUCUGGGCUGUAACUGACGCUGAGGAGCGAAAGCGUGGGGAGCAAACAGGAUUAGAUACCCUGGUAGUCCACGCCGUAAANCGGUGGGUGCUAGGCUGUGGGCCCACAUUUCCANCGUGGUCCGUGACGAAGUUAACCACCAUUAAGCCCCCCGCCUGGA